rnacentral:rRNA from 1 species
AGUGAACGCUGGCGGUAGGCCUAACACAUGCAAGUCGAACGGCAGCACAGUAAGAGCUUGCUCUUACGGGUGGCGAGUGGCGGACGGGUGAGGAAUACAUCGGAAUCUACUUUUUCGUGGGGGUUAACGUAGGGAAACUUACGCUAAUACCGCAUACGACCUACGGGUGAAAGCAGGGGAUCUUCGGACCUUGCGCGAUUGAAUGAGCCGAUGUCGGAUUAGCUAGUUGGCGGGGUAAAGGCCCACCAAGGCGACGAUCCGUAGCUGGUCUGAGAGGAUGAUCAGCGACACUGGAACUGAGACACGGUCCAGACUCCUACGGGAGGCAGCAGUGGGGAAUAUUGGACAAAGGGCGCAAGCCUGAUCCAGCCAUACCGCGUGGGUGAAGAAGGCGUUCGGGUUGUAAAGCCCUUUUGUUGGGAAAGAAAAGCAGCAGGUUAAUACCCCGCUGUUCUGACGGUACCCAAAGAAUAAGCACCGGCUAACUUCGUG